CAGACGAUUUCCCUGAAAUCUUGUUGCUUCGCACUUUUCACAUCCAUGUCUAAUGAGAGUAAAGUUCAUGCUAAAAUACAAGCUUCUAGCCAGACUAUUCGGUCCUGGGAGAUAGAGGAAAUGCUGGGGACCAAUGAACCAGUAACGACCAAGGUUCUGGCCAUUGACAAACACCACUCCUUUACCCCAGUUCUGUGGAUACACAUAUAUCAACACAGGCUCUUCAUUCCAAAGAAAUUCCAAAUGCAAGCAACUAAUAUGUCUUGGAAUCCCAGCUCUUUUGGAACAGAAAUCAAAAAUUGUUUCAUUCUGGCUUGAAUUGUUCAUUGAACAAAGGAAGCUUGAUGAAGGUGUCUUUUGGAGGACCGUCCAAAACGAGCCUGGCCUGGAAAAAUCCUGGGACUGGCACUGACUUGAAGUCGGUUUUCC